rnacentral:rRNA from 1 species
UACGUAGGGCGCAAGCGUUGUCCGGAUUCACUGGGUGUAAAGGGCGCGUAGGCGGUGUGUCAAGUCAGGCGUGAAAGCCCCGGGCUCAACCUGGGAACCGCGCUUGAGACUGGCACGCUCGAGUUCGGGAGAGGAUGGUGGAAUUCCCAGUGUAGAGGUGAAAUUCGUAGAUAUUGGGAAGAACACCGAUGGCGAAGGCAGCCAUCUGGACCGACACUGACGCUGAGGCGCGAAAGCGUGGGGAGCAAACAGG